GGUUAAGCUACUAAGAGCACACGGAGGAUGCCUAGGCACUAGGAGCCGAAGAAGGACGUGGCGAACAACGAAACUGCCUCGGGGAGCUGUAAGCAAGCUUUGAUCCGGGGGUGUCCGAAUGGGGAAACCCGGCUGGAGUAAUACCCAGUCACUCAUGCCUGAAUACAUAGGGUGUGAAGAGGCAUACCAGGGGAACUGAAACAUCUAAGUACCCUGAGGAAGAGAAAACAAUAGUGAUUCCGUUAGUAGCGGCGAGCGAAUGCGGAACAGCCUAAACCAGAGAGCUUGCUCUCUGGGGUUGUGGGACGUCUCACAUGGAGUUACAAAGGAACAGGGUAGACGAAGAGGUCUGGAAAGGCCCGCCAAAGAAGGUAAAAGCCCUGUAAUCGAAAUUCUGUUCCCUCCGAGACGGAUCCCGAGUAGUGCGGGGCACGUGAAACCCCGUAUGAAUCUGCCAGGACCAUCUGGUAAGGCUAAAUACUCCCUAGUGACCGAUAGUGAAGCAGUACCGUGAGGGAAAGGUGAAAAGCACCCCGGAAGGGGAGUGAAAAAGAACCUGAAACCGUGUGCUUACAAGAAGUCAGAGCCCGAUCUAUGGGUGAUGGCGUGCCUUUUGUAGAAUGAACCGGCGAGUUACGUUUGCAAGCAAGGUUAAGCCGAGAAGGUGGAGCCGCAGCGAAAGCGAGUCUGAAUAGGGCGAUUAAGUUUGUAGGCGUAGACCCGAAACCGUGUGAUCUACCCCUGUCCAGGGUGAAGGUGCGGUAACACGCACUGGAGGCCCGAACCCACGUAUGUUGAAAAAUGCGGGGAUGAGGUGGGGGUAGCGGA
rnacentral:rRNA from 1 species